GCCGAUGAUAGGUUUAGCCAACUUCAAUAAAUGAUUAUAACCCAACAGCAAUCCCUCACCAGGCUAGAAGUCAAUUAGCUGAAUCUACCAUGAGAAGAGAACUAGGUCAAUUGCCAAACGAACCAAUAUCGAAUUUUGAAAAUGACCCAUCCAUCCACCAAUCAUCUGGACCUAGUCAUCAAUCCAAUGUCCCACCUAAGAAUCUCCAAUUUGAAAGUGAUAAUGCAAUUUCUGAGCUUAAAAGUGAUAGAAUUCUUAAGG
rnacentral:lncRNA from 1 species